rnacentral:lncRNA from 1 species
UGAUGGCAGGGACCAUGCUUUUCUUGGUGUCUGUCUGUCUGUCUGUCUGUCUCUCCCUCUUGGAGUACUUUGACAUCGAGGCCGACAAACAUUUUUUGAAUAUAGUGUUUAGUCCCUUUAUGUCAUAGACCUCAUGCCGCAGAGGCAUCUGUUUUCUUUUUUUAUAAAAGAUAUUUGCUGUUCUUAACAUUAGGGUUUUUUUUUCCUUUUUCCUUAGGAAUACUCUAGUUAAGUUUAUUCAUUUAUUCAGCAGAUGAAUAAAAUGUUGAAUUCUUAUCCAUGACAAGGCACGAUGUAAGACCAUGUUCCAGCAACAUUGGUUGGUUUAGCUGCGUGAGGUGGCACACGCCUUUAAUCCCUGCACUCAGGAGGAAGAAGCAGGUGUAUCUCUUUAAGGCCAGCCUGCUCUGCACAGUGAGUUAGUGACAGGAUAGCCAGGGCUCCAUACAGAGGCCUGCCUCAAACCUCCACCCAACCAAUCAACAC